AGAGAAAGAGGCAGAGAGGGAGACCGAAGGAGAGAGCGCAGAGAGGGAGAAUGUGUCUGCGCACAGCCAAAAUUGGUCAGAAAGGGGAGUAAAGUGGGACACGAGCUUCAAAGUAGGGAAACCAAAGAAGGGAGCAUCCACGUCCUCUCUCUGCAGCUUCUCCCCCGCGUUCUUCGGGCGAAUCCGAGGGACGGGCGCUGCGCUGGGGAAAGUUUGUCCCACCCGCGUUUCGCAGCUGGUUGCAAGGAGAGGAGGAGGAGAGGGAGGGUCAAGCUCGGAGCCUGUGACCGCACGGAUGAUCGAGCCGGCGUCGCGCUUACCUCGCAGUCCUCGUACUUGAUAUUAUCCGUCAAUUUCCAAAGCAUUUUCAUGGAUCGGCGUGAACGGAUAUGCCCCUCUCGGUCUCGCACCCAAGUGGAGCUACUCUCUGGCUCUUUACCAACAGCCUAAUCGCCUCAUUAGCAUAUCAACAAUAGUCCAAUUGCUCGCCAGUACCACAAUCUGCCGCCGGCCGCUCCGACACAGGCUAAGGUUUCCUGGGUGCAACGUGGACACGAAUACAGAACUCCUAUGGAACUGCACACCCGCUUCUGAAGUUGAGCCUAAAAACAGACGUGUGUGUGCCUGCAAGUCUAGAUACCGUCUCGUGCGUGCAUCAAAAUAAAUCACCGGGAACCGACUUUUAGCUGUGUUAAUCUGCUCUAGUUUUCCCAAGAUUCCCCUUUUUAAUUAAAGCAGGGAGAGUUCCUUCAUGAUUUGGUGAUGCUACUAACGCGGGCGUGCUCGCGAGGCAGAGCCCGGCUGCCGCGGAACCUGGAGGCCUGGGAGCCACCUACUCGUCCAGACUGGUCAGUCCGGGCUUUUGGACUCCUCACCGGGGCCUGCUGGGUCCUCUGGGGCUUUUAUCCCUUUCGGUUUUGGGAUUUUUUUUUAAGUAAGAAAAAAAAAAAAGAAAAGGACCUAAUGUGACACUAGGAAAUACAGAGUAAUUAAUUUUCCUGGCUGAGCUUCCUCGUUUGUCCUCCAAAAGAAAGUUACCUCUGUCUUUUCUCUCUGCUAUAUGUACAAACUCCUUAACUACACUAGGUCCCGCCUCAGAGUUGCUCUAGUAAGGACCUUUGAUUCAUCUGGGCUUGUUUCUCGAAAAUCUCCAGGCCUCCCAUAUUUCCACCGGG
rnacentral:lncRNA from 1 species